rnacentral:lncRNA from 1 species
GGCAGCCUUGACUCCUGAGCUCAAGCAAUCUUCCCGUCUCACAAUGCCUGGCUAAUUUUUUAUUUUAUUUUUUUAGAGAUGGUGUCUGGCUAUGGUGCCCAGGCUGGUCUUGAAAUCCUGGGCUCAAGUAUUCCUUCUGCCUCAGCCUCCCAGUGUGCUGGGAUUACAGGGAUGAGCCACUGUGCCCUGCUGGAAGGGUCAACUGGACAGAGAAAAAAGGACAUUGAACGAAGACACUCUGAAUUCAAAGGACAGAGAACAAAGACCCUGGCUUAUUUGGAAAUCAACCUCCUUCCCUAAUCUGCCAUGUAUUUGAUAUCUAUCGUUAUUGGUAUUUUAAAUAUAAGGACGUUUUAAAUAUGACCUCAAAUUCUUUGACAAUGCUUCCUCUUGAAUGUGGGCUGGUCCUAAUGACUAGCUUCCAAUGAGUAGAAAUUGCAGAAAUGAUGUGUUAAUUUUGAGGCUACAUCAUAAAAGACAAAGAUAAUGCAGCUUCCAUCUCCGUCCCUCUUCCAUCUUGCUCUGUAGGAAGCCAGCUUCCAUUUUGUAAGGACAUUCCAAUAGCCUAAGAAGCAAUGCCCAUGGUUAGGAACCGAAAUCUCCUGCCAAAUGACAAAUGAGUGACCAUCUCAGGAACAGCUCCCUUACCCCACCAAGCCUUCAGAGAGGACUGCAGCUCCAGCCAAAACCUUAGUUGCAACCACAUGAGAGAGCCUGAGUCAGCCAUUCAACUGAAGUGUUCCCAGACUCCUGACCCACAGAAAUCCACAGAUAAUAAAAGUUUGGUUUCAACCACUAUGUUUUGGGGUAAUCUAUUAUGUAGCAGUAGAUAAUUAAUAUAAUUUGUCUGCACACUGG